UACGUAGGUGGCAAGCGUUGUCCGGAUUUACUGGGCGUAAAGAGCGCGCAGGCGGUCGAUUAAGUCGAGUGUGAAAGCCCCCGGCUCAACUGGGGAGGGUCACUUGAUACUGGUCGACUCGAAGGCAGGAGAGGGAAGUGGAAUUCCCGGUGUAGUGGUGAAAUGCGUAGAUAUCGGGAGGAACACCAGUGGCGAAGGCGGCUAUCUGGACGGUUUCUGACGCUAAGACGCGAAAGCGUGGGGAGCAAACAGG
rnacentral:rRNA from 1 species